CGAUGUUCGAGUUCGUCGCGGAAGAUGAACUCUUCGGUCGAUUUGGCCCCAUAGAGGAGGUAGAUCUCCCCCAUCCAAGCAGUGUCUGCGAGGUAACGGAUUGCGGCCAUCAGCGGCGUGAUCCCCANGCCGCCAAUCAGGACGACGCUGUCCGAUUCCGCCCCGGUGAAAGUGAAGACGCCCGAAGGCGCUAUCACAUCGAUGAGGUCUCCUUCGGAGAUCUGGUCGUGCAUGAAUUCGGAGAAGACGCCCUUCUCUUCACGCUUGAUCGUGGUCUCGACGUAAGCGGUUUGGGCGGCAGAAGAGGC
rnacentral:misc_RNA from 1 species